rnacentral:rRNA from 1 species
AACGAACGCUGGCGGCAUGCCUAACACAUGCAAGUCGAACGAGACCUUCGGGUCUAGUGGCGCACGGGUGCGUAACGCGUGGGAACCUGCCCUUAGGUUCGGAAUAACUCCCCGAAAGGGGUGCUAAUACCGGAUAAUGUCUUCGGACCAAAGAUUUAUCGCCUUUGGAUGGGCCCGCGUUGGAUUAGCUAGUUGGUAGGGUAAAAGCCUACCAAGGCGACGAUCCAUAGCUGGUCUGAGAGGAAGAUCAGCCACACAGGGACUGAGACACGGCCCAGACUACUACGGGAGGCAGCAGUGGGGGAUAUUGGACAAUGGGCGAAAGCCUGAUCCAGCAAUGCCGCGUGAGUGAUGAAGGCCUUAGGGUUGUAAAGCUCUUUUACCCGGGAUGAUAAUGACAGUACCGGGAGAAUAAGCUCCGGCUAACUCCGUG